rnacentral:rRNA from 1 species
GACGAACGCUGGCGGCGUGCUUAACACAUGCAAGUCGAACGGAAAGGCCCUGCUUUUGUGGGGUGCUCGAGUGGCGAACGGGUGAGUAACACGUGAGUAACCUGCCCUUUACUUUGGGAUAACUUCAGGAAACUGGGGCUAAUACCGGAUAGGAGCUCCUGCUGCAUGUUGGGGGUUGGAAAGUUUCGGCGGUUGGGGAUGGACUCGCGGCUUAUCAGCUUGUUGGUGGGGUAGUGGCUUACCAAGGCUUUGACGGGUAGCCGGCAUGAGAGGGUGACCGGCCAAAUUGGGACUGAGAUACGGCCCAGACUCCUACGGGAGGCAGCAGUGGGGAAUAUUGCACAAUGGGCGGAAGCCUGAUGCAGCAACGCCGCGUGCGGGAUGACGGCCUUCGGGUUGUAAACCGCUUUCGCCUGUGACGAAGCGUGAGUGACGGUAAUGGGUAAAGAAGCACCGGCUAACUACGUG